GCUUAGGCGGGCGCCAUCGCGCGCGCCAAUCUCGGGCUCCCCACUCCCAGCCCCUUUUCCCAAGGCGCCCCAGCACGCCCGGGCCCCCGCCGGAUCUACUUGGGUCUCUGAGCUCGCGCUCCUCCUCCUCCUCCUCGCCAUAGAGCUAGCACCCGGCGGCGGCGGUGGCGGUGGCGGUACCGGCGGCGGCGGCGGGAGCCCCAUAGACGCCUCUCGCCCUGCGAAAGGGGGAAAGGGGAGCUGGAGCGGCGCUCGGCCCAGCGCGGCGACGUCGCUCCUCGCACGUCCCGCCGAGGGCGCGGCCUGAUGACGCCGGGCGCCGGGUGGGCGGGGCCCUCCCUCAGGAGGCGGGGCGGGCAGGUGACGAACGCCCCGGCGUUGGAGCAGCUGAGCCGGCAAGGCGACCAGGCCUAGCUAACUGACCCCGGGGUGGUGGUGGCCCGGAGCACACCGGGGUUCCGUCCAGCCGACGAGUCGCCCUUCUCCAGCCGCCCGCAGUGGUAGCUCGGACCCCCGGGGCCAGGGACUCACGAGCGCGGCGUGUGGGAGACGGCGCGGCCCCUGGGCACCCCGUCCGGGCCGUGCUCGAUCGCCCGGGAAGCACUGGGCUAAGCGAGGAGCAGCAGGCCAGAACCUUGUAGGGCCUCGGGCCCGGGGACCCGAGGAGGAUGAGCUGGCUCUUUCCCCUGGCGAAGAGCGCGUCAUCCUCCGCGGCUGGGUCCCCUGCCGGCCUCACCAGUCUCCAGCAGCAGAAGCAGCGGCUGAUCGAGUCACUCCGGAACUCCCAUUCCAGUAUAGCUGAAAUACAAAAAGAUGUGGAAUACAGAUUGCCAUUCACAGUAAACAACCUGACAAUUAACAUUAAUAUAUUACUUCCUCCACAGUUUCCUCAGGAAAAGCCAGUGAUUAGUGUUUAUCCGCCAAUCAGACAUCAUUUAAUGGAUAGUCAAGGAUUAUAUGUUACCUCUCCAUUAGUAAGCAAUUUUACAAUGCACUCAGAUCUUGGAAAAAUUAUUCAAAGUCUUUUGGAUGAGUUCUGGAAGAAUCCUCCAGUUUUAGCUCCUACUUCAACAACAUUUCCAUACCUGUAUAGUAAUCCAGGUGGGAUGCCUCCGUACCCCUCCCAGGGGUUUCCAUUUCUUCCUCCAUAUCCUCCACCAGAAGCUAACAGGAAUAUCACAUCCUUGUCUGUAGCUGACACUGUUUCUUCUUCAACCACAAGUUACACUGCAGCUAAGCCCGUGGCGCCUUCAUUUGGCAUCCUUUCAAGUCUGCCAUUACCAGUUCCCACAACUGAAUCUUCAGCAUCGGUUAACCAAAAUGGUUUUGGUUAUAAGAUGCCGGAUAUUCCUGAUGCAUUUCCAGAACUUUCAGAACUAAGUGUGUCACAGCUCACAGAUAUGAAUGAACAGGAGGAGGUAUUACUAGAACAGUUUCUGAUGUUGCCUCAACUAAAACAAAUUAUUACUGACAAGGAAGACUUAGUAAAAAAUAUCGAGGAAUUAGCAAGAAAAAAUCUCCUUUUGGAACAUAGCUUGGAAGGCAAAAGGCAAACCGUUUUAGAUAAGUAUGAAUUACUUCUACAAAUGAAAUCUACCUUUGAAAAGAAGAUGCAAAGGCAACAUGAACUCAGUGAGGUAGGGCUGAUGAGUUCUUUCUGUCCCUCAGGAGCUGCUCAGCCACAGGAGCUGGCCCCGCCCUGUGCAUCUGACUUUAUAAAGCUGACUGACAGCUGGAAACAGAGUUCUUGUUCUUUCAGGGUUUGUCUAUUUCCAAAUCCUAUAAGGAAUGAAACCCCAGCAAAGCAGGAAAGUAGUGUAACUGCUAUAAUAAAACCUAGUAACAAAAAGAUACUUUACAUUAAGUAUAAUUUAAAAGAUUAGACUGCUACUUAGGAAAAAUAAUCUUUAAAAAUAAAAUAGAAGAUGUAAUCUUUAUAGCUUAUUGCAGCAAGAAACAUUGUAGUUAAUAAUUUGUUUCCCUUAAGAGAUGCUUAUAUUCUCUAGUUAGAAUAGCAUAGAAUAUUAAGUAGAAUGAAAGAGUAUUAAUAAGACUUGAUUCUUUAGCAUAUGACUUAAAAGUUUAAUAUUUCCAGUAAUCUCCCAAAUAUGGUUUUAAAAAUCUGAGUGGAUUAAAGUAGUUAGGAAGGAGUUGAAUAUAAAAGGGUUGGGAAAAACAUGCUUCAUCAACAUCAAAAUAUUGUGUAAAUGUCAUUUAAAAUGAUGCAGUAGUUUUGUAGGAAGAUGGAAAAUAGUUGUAUGGAGCAGGCUGCAGUUCUAAAAUAGAUUCGUGUAUGUGACUAAUAACUAGAAAAACUUCAGGAGUCAACAAAUUGUGUAAUUGCUUAUUGGUUUAGGAUCUGAUGAAAAAUUGCCUUCAUCUUUUAUAUCAAACUUCAUAAAGGUCAUAUUCUACAGAAUAUAGAAAAGUACAAUACAUAUAGUAUCAGAACAAAGUAUAAAAAUCAGUUAAUUCCUAGGAAUAUUUUUAAAUGGUUUUUUAAUGUGAAAAAAUUAAAAAGUCCUGUUUUCUAAUUGUAAUAGAAGGCAAAAGCAUAGAGGAAAAUGUUCACAUUUGAAUAUAUAAAUUUAAAAUUGAGAAGUACUAAAAAUAAAAGUGAAUGCUUUUGUUAAGAACACAUGUAUAAUAUAGACAACACAAAAGUUGCUAGUGGAUUAUAAAGAGCAAAUAAGAAAGUAGGAAACUCCCCUAAGAGAAAAUGUCUCGUAAAGAAUUCUGUGUAGGGGCUGAGCGGUAGAGCAUGUGCCAAACAUUUGUAAGGCCUCAGCUGCACCUGACACAACACAGGUCAGCUUUACCACUUUUUCUCACCCCUGGACAUGUAUGUAAGAAUUACUUGAGGUGAUUCUAGAAAUACUUAAAAAUUGUCCUGAGGUAGUGGCGCACACCUUCACCCACAUACUUGGAAGGCAGAGGUAGGCUGAUCUCCGUGAAUUUGAGGCUAGCCUUGUCUACAGAGUGAGUUCCAGGAUGGCCAGAGCUACAGAGGGAAACCUGUCUCAAAACAAAAACAAAAAACAGAAAACCCAUAGAUAUGUUUGUGGAUUAACUUCUGACAUUACUAGGAGACGGAAGUCUCACAGGAAAUUCCCUGAUCCUUUGCUUCUUAUAAUCUUUCUAAAUUUCCUUGAAUCUUAGCUACAGGAGUUGUUUUGUAUCUGUUUGGACUGGGUUCUACAACUCUGUACUUGAUUAGUUGUGGUCUUCUAUAAUGGUCUUUCUGGUAUAUUGCAAAGAGACGUGUUCCUUAUGGAGGCGAGGACUGCACUUACCUGUGGAUUAAGGGUUAUGCUGGAUUGGUAAUGUGGUGGUUGUAGGUUCUUUAAGAUCCACAACUUCACUAGUCCCGGCUAGUUAGUUGGCUAGGUUCCCAGUUACAGGCAUGAAUUCCCCCUUUGUUGAACAGGUCCUAGUCUUAUUAGAAGGCUGAGCAACAAAUCAAAAGAGGAUUUCUCAUGCCUAAUGUUUGAUUUUUUUUUUUUUUUUUUUUUGGUUAGGUGGUCUUUGGUUCUUGGAGGGAGCAUUGUCAACCCAGAAGGGAUGUCAUUUGAAUAUUAAUAUUCUUUUUUAUACUCUUGGAAUGUAUUAGAGUGCAUUGAUUUUGUAGAUCUUUUGCGUUAUCAUUGUCAUCGUAACCUAACAAAGACAGACAAGAACAGGAAUACAAGGAGAUGCAGGUCAUUGGGUCAUUUGAGUAGGUAUUCUCACAAUGAUUUAAUUCCAAAAUAUCUAGGAUAUAACAGUGGAUUUUCAGUUUCUCAUUUAACAGUUUUACAGUUUGUGAUUUGGUUUCUUUUGUGCUUGCUAUCUGUAUUUGCUAAUUGUAGGUCAAAUUGACACAAGCUAUAGUUAUCAGAAAGGAAGGAGCUCCAAUUGAGAAAAUACCUUCAUAAGAUUGGGCUGUACAAGAAUUUAUAGUACAUUUUCUUAAUUAUUCAUUGAUAGGGGGAGGACCUAGCCCAUUGUGAGUGGUACAAUCCCUGGGCUCUAUAAGAAAACUAAGUAAACCAUGAGGAACAGAUACAAUAGCAGCAUUCCUCCAUGGCCUCUGCAUCAGCUCUUGCCUCCAGGUUCCCACCUAGCUUGAGUUCCUGUCCUAACUUUCUUCAAUGAUGAAUGGUGAUGUGGAACAGUAAGCCAAACAAACCCUUUCAUCUCCAGUUUGCUUUUAGAAGAAACCCUAACUAAUGACUAAGGCAGGAUCCAUCCAAGUAGCCAAUGCUGAAGACCCCCGUGGAUCUUGCUUCUCAUAUCUCUGCCUCAUUUCCCCGUCUGUAGUUUAUCUGAGAAUUAUAGACUAAUGCAUUGCCUGAUUUUUUUGUUUGUUCACAGAGUUGUAGUGCAAGUGCUCUACAGGCAAGAUUGAAAGUAGCUGCACACGAAGCUGAGGAAGAAUCGGAUAAUAUUGCUGAAGACUUCUUGGAGGGAAAAACUGAAAUAGAUGAUUUUCUCAAUAGCUUCAAGGAAAAGAGAACAAUUUGCCACUGUAGAAGAGCUAAAGAAGAGAAGCUUCACCAGGUGAUAGCGAUGCACAGCCAAUUUCAUGCUCCUCUCUAGAUUUUCCUGAAACCAUGAACUACCAAGAGAGAAAUGGGACACAGGCCUAAGCACAUUGUUUUCUAUUUAUGACUUAGGGAUGGGCACUUGAAACCAUGGCUGAGGUCCAGAUGCGAUGUAGAUUGUCUAUCACCUGAGACUGAUUCCGUACAGAUUAGAAUGACUGCUAUAUUUGACAAAACUUUCUGCACUAUUUGCACUAAAGAUGUUUAUUGUUGACAAAUCCUGUAUUUAAGUUCCUCUAUUUCUGAUUAAACAUCUAUGCAUGUAAUUCUAGCUAAUUUUUAAUAUUUUUAAAAACUACUGAUUUACAUUUUUAGUUUUAACUUGAAGCUGCCUCAUUUAUCAAGAGUGCUUAUUACUUAGAUUCUUCUUCCUGUCAGCCUUUUCUUUCAAAACCUAUUUUCAGCUGUGAAAAGGUCAUCUAGCCCACCCCGAUACACACACACACAUACACACACAGACACACACACACACACACACACACACACACACACACACACACACACCCCUUUCUUUCUAGAUGAUGAAACUGUCCAGAGCAGUUUGUUUUCAGAUAUUCAGUGUCAGGAAACAGCAGUCCUGCCAAGGUGCCAUCUCAAGAAAGCAACCUGUAAUACCUGCAGUAAAUAAGAGUGAAGAAUCUACUUUCUUACAGUUUCACUUUCAGACUAAAGAUACAUUUAGGCAGCGAUACAGGUCAAUGCAUUGGUUGUAUUUUGUUCUGGAACAGGUUGCACUGUGUAGCCCACUCUAGCCUCAAACUUGUGCUUCUCCUCCCUGAGUACAGGGUUACAGACAGGUGCCAUCAUCUCAUAAAUAGAUAUUUUACUUAUUUUUAAAACUGUCUUUCACUUAAACCAGUACAAUACAGACUUCCAUGCUAACUAAAAUAAAUAAGUAUAUAUGGGUUUUGGGUAAAUGAUACUCCUUUUAUAUUCCAAAUGUAAAAACAAACAAUUCCUUUUGUUAAGAAAUGGUAAAUCUAGGCAGAAAUAGUAAAAUUUUAAUACUUUGACUUGACUUUUUAAACAUUUUUUUUCCUAAGAAAGCUUUAUAAUAACAAGUAAUGUCUUAAUUUUUAAUGAAUUUAAUUUUCUAAUUGUAGAUGUAUUCAGCAAUUUGUUUCUGUAUUUUGUCACAGAGCUAAAGAAGAAAAUGAGUACAUAUCUGAGGUUGGUAAGUUAGGACCUAAAUCACUAAAUACCAUAACACAUAAUUGCUCAGUUUUCAUCCGUGACUGUCAUUCCAAAGCCUGCAUACAUUAUGGAUUGUCUUCAUUUUUCUUACUCUACAUAUUUUUGGUAAUGGAGUUUUAAGAAAGUCAUAAAUAUUUUCUUAUUGAAAAUUUUUUUCAUGUUUGUGGAAGACAUAUUCCUGUGACUAUAAAGAUUAUCCCGUGCUGGGUAUGCACCAUGAUAGCUGCCUGUCUUGCUGGCGCUAAUGUUAAGGGUAUGCUAUGGAAUCCUCAGGCAGACCUACAGAUAUAGGUGAGAUAACAGGUGGAGUCAUGUUUCACAUUUGUGACCAACUUGGGGGCAUUCAGAGACUUCUGAGUGUACUGGUAUUUGUGUUUAACAUUCCCAGCAGUCACCAUAGUCAGUGGAGAAUUUGCCAGUCACAGUCUAGUUGCUUUCUUAAAAAACCAGGGAUAUCCCAGAACAAGAGACCAGCAGUCUUCUUAUUAAGGUUUCUGCUAGACACCUCACUCAGUAUUGUAGAAAGACUACCCAGAGACAACACAAGUGUGACACACAAACACAAACACACACCACACUUGCUCACCCAGGCCAGGGCAUGCUUUUCUUUAAAUUUGUAUUAUCCAAGUUUCAUUGUCAAUUAAUGAAGCAUAAUUUCUCCCUAAAAAUUCAGAGAGCCUCUUUACAAUCCAGACAUUAAACCAAGACAUUUGACCACAGUUGCUUGCCUUUAGCAAGUUGACAAACUAGUUCAGACAUGUUUAUUACUUGUAGUGAAUAUCUGAAUAUGCCAGUGUGAAUUUGCAUUCUUUAUUUGCAGGAGACAGAGUACAUGGUUGUAAUUUUAUGGCCAUAUUUUUUCUUUGUAAAAAUUGGCUAUAGAUCUGAAUACCAAACACAUACUCGGAUUUUACUUUAGUAUAAAGGAAAGCUUAGGAAUUACUAGACUACCUAGGUAGAAUUUGUCAAGGAUAUUUAAAGGUAAGCUGUAACAAGUCGGGAAAGUCAAAGUUGGGUGAAAACUUCAGAUUAAAUGAACAGAGUAUAGAACAAAGGUUGUUUGACCACAGUUUAUAUAUUUAAAUUGCAGGACAGCUAAGAUUCUGUUGUAGGAGAAAGAAGUAAAUUGAAGUUGUGCUUUCUGUUCUUUUAAGGCAGGGUUUCUAGCCCAGACUGCGCUCUAACUUUGAUGUAACUGAGGAUGACCUGGCUGUCGGGUCUUCCACCUCUUGAGUACUAGGAGCCUAAGCAUGUAUCACCAACCCCAGUCCUGUGGAGCUUGGGGACUGAGCUCAGGGCUUCAUGCCUGGAAGGAAGGCACUCUUAUCUAUUGGCCGACCUGCAUCCUCUUAAGGAAUGAAAACUUGGGCUGGGGAGGUGGCUAAGUGCUAACUUGUGUGUCAUGCAAGCAUGAGGGACCCGAUUCAAAUUCUUAGGACCUAUAUAAAAACCUGGUACAUGGUAGAACAGGCCUGAAAUUCCAUCACUCCUAUACAGGAGAGGAAUGAGAGACUUGUCCCAGGAAGCUUUGCAGGCCAAUUUAUAUAGUAGGCAGAAUGGCAGCCAGUGAGGCCCUUGUUACAAACAAGGUCGGGGCACGGCCUGACACCUGUUGUUCAGUGUUCCUCUCACUUCAGCACUGAAGGUUGCUGGGAGGUUUUGUUUUGUUUAAAUUGCCAAAUGACUUGUUCAAACAUGAUCAAAAUUACUAAUCAAUUGAGCUGUAACUAUUAAAGGUUGGGAAGUAAUGUCCUGAAUAAGUUAUAUAUUUUGAAGUAUUCUCUGAACACUGCACUAAAUAAUAAAACACCUCACAACUGAAGCUUCAUUUAGAGUGAACAUGUAGUACUAGAGGUUUCUAGUUGAAUCGACCAUGACUUAUCCAGGGACUCUGAAAGGCAGGCUGCAGUGAGCAUGUGUAGCUUCAGUAUUGACUUGUAAAAAAAAUAAAAAUGACUCCAUGAACAUACCUAAAUUAUGUCUUGUAAAGGGAUGGAGGGAACAAAAAGCGUGUGGCUCUGAUGCUAAUAAAGGUGUCACAUUAAAAAGUAAAAAAUUUAAAUACAUACAUACUGCUUGUUUUUCCAAAUAUGUAGUACAGAUGAUGUUUUAUCUUUGUUGUUGACCUAUUGUCUAAAGAGCAGGUACUAUACAAAUGGCGAAACAGCCAGGCGUCAUGACACACACCUUCAAUGCCAGCACUUAGGUGGCAAAAGCAGGCAGGUCCCUGAGUUUGAGGUCAGCCAGGGCUACAGAGUCAGAUGUUGUCUUAAAAAAAGAAAGAAAGAAAGAAAAUAAGUGAUUUAUGUUAUAAAGCUGUAAAAGCCAUUCCCACUAUAUUCCAUAUGUUUAUUAGCUAUUCUAUAGGAAAUGAGUAAAUAUUCCUUAGGCUUACUUGGGAAACUUUCCAACAGAAAAUGCUCAAUUUAACAUCUAAAGGAAUUACACUUGCUUUAUUUUUGUAUUAAUAAUAUUUUUAUAUUACAGGCCUUUAGUAUAUUAAAUUCAUUCUGUCUUCAAAUGUGAGCAUUAUUAUAUUGUAUGACAUUAUGUGAUGUGUGUGUAUAACUCACACUAUGUUUUAAGUCUCUUAUCCUUUCAUAUUACUGUAUUUCUAUUUCCAAAAAAAUUGAAUACAUUAUCUGAUAAAAAUUUUCACACUUUAAAGUACUGUUAUAAAAAACUAAGAUUAAAUGUAUCUCUUUAUUAGAAUGUACUUACACUGUAAAAUCAUAUAAUAAGAACAUUUCAGUAUGUUCAAACACAGCAACAUUUCUCCAUUAAGAGUUUUCAGAUCAAAAGCUCAAUUCAAAUCCUGUUUUAAAUGCAUUUUAACAGAAACUUCAGAAUUGCCAUCCAGUAGUCCAUGGUCAUGAGAUAUUGCUAAUGUUACAGAAAACAUUAGCUUUCUAUAGAAUUUGUAAAAUGAAAAGUGCUGUAACCUUUAUUCCCUGUGUUUAGCAGAUGGGUUGGGGGUUUGAAGAAUGGCUCCCAAAGGCUCAUCUAUUUGAAUGCUCUGUUCCUGGUUGGUGGAACUGUUUAGGAGGGAUUAGGAGAUGUGGCCUUGUGGGAGGGGGUUUGUUCCUGGGAGCUGCCUUUAAAUUUUCAAAAAGCCCAUGCCUUUUCUAGUUAGCUCUCACUGCCUCUUGGUUAUGUCUUGAAAUGUGAGCUGUCAGCUGCUGCUCCAAUGCCAUACCUGCUUGGCUGAUACCAUGCCUUCCACCAUGAUGGUUGUAGAUUCUAACCCUCUGAAACUGUAAGUCCUAAUAAAUCCUUUAUUCUA